GAUCAUGGCUCAGAUUGAACGCUGGCGGCAUGCUUUACACAUGCAAGUCGGACGGCAGCACAGAGAAGCUUGCUUCUUGGGUGGCGAGUGGCGAACGGGUGAGUAACAUAUCGGAACGUACCGAGCAGUGGGGGGAUAACUAAUCGAAAGAUUAGCUAAUACCGCAUAUUUUCUGAGGAAGAAAGCAGGGGACCAUUUGGCCUUGCGCUGUUUGAGCGGCCGAUAU
rnacentral:rRNA from 1 species